AACCAUAUUUUCCAAUAACAAAACAAAGUGGUUACUUAAGUGAUUCUAAUUUGCUUCACAGGAAUUCGUAAUGCACAGAGGUUUCGUCGGCUUUUAUAUUUGGUGCUUUUUACAACCUUGUCUUUUUUUUAUCGAUUUUCCAACAGCGGUAGGAAAUAUUUCUUCGAUCGAUCAUAUUUGAUGGUCAUACUCCGGAGUCAUAGAAAAGACAAGCCCGGAGUAUAGAUUAUGAGUGAAGUAUUUCAGUGCUUAUUUUAACAAAUAUCUUAAAUGGAGCAUAUGUGUGGAUGUUAUUGUUAAUAAGGCAAAAAGGCACUUUAUAUUUUAAGGUUUUAGAUGCAUCUCAUUUAGAUUUCGAAGCAGCCCUCUUGAAACCAGUUAACCAAAAAACACUCAACCAAUAUGCUGAAUAUAGUUUAAUGCGGAGGCCUUUAUAUUUGCCUGCUUUAGACGAGAUCCACCCCUAGAGCAGCAUUCUUGGCUGCAGCUACUACCUAUGGUGGAGUUGGAGCAGAAAAGGAAAGUUGCAGCUGUAAAAACUAAAUCUUUAUCUAUAGAUAUUAAAAUUUGAAGAUGAAAAUCCAGUUUGCUGAAAUGUUCUUUGUUACACGUAUGUACCGAUGCUCUUAUUUAUAUGAGCAUCUAAUUUAUUUAAAGAUAAAUAGGUAGCACCUUUUAAGAAACGUUAUCGUUAACUGAUGAUCAUGUUGUUAUCAUCAAUUGUAAUUGUAACUGAACUGCUAUAAAGAUGUUCAGCCGAUUAUUGAUACCUUGCUUUAUAACGAUGACAAAUGUCCGCCAAAAACCAUUAUUAAAUAACGAUUUUAUUUAUUAUAACUUAUAUUUUCCAAUGUGUAAUGUAUGUAACAAGUGUACAAAAUAUCAAAACAUAUUUAUGCAAUUGC